rnacentral:rRNA from 1 species
UACGGGGGGGGCAAGCGUUGUUCGGAAUCACUGGGCUUAAAGGGCGCGUAGGCGGCCUGCCAAGUCAGGAGUGUAAUCUUUCGGCUCAACCGGAAAAGUGCUUUUGAUACUGGCGGGCUAGAGGGAGAUAGGGGCAUGUGGAACUUCCGGUGGAGCGGUGAAAUGCGUUGAUAUCGGAAGGAACGCCGGUGGCGAAAGCGACGUGCUGGACCUCUUCUGACGCUGAGGCGCGAAAGCCAGGGGAGCGAACGGG